GAUGAACGCUAGCGGCAGGCUUAAUACAUGCAAGUCGUGGGGCAGCAGGACUGUAGCAAUACAGUUGCUGGCGACCGGCAAACGGGUGCGGCACACGUACGCAACUUACCCUGAACUGGGGGAUAGCCCGGGGAAACCCGGAUUAAUACCCCGUAAUAUAGUGGAGUGGCAUCACUUUAUUAUUAAAGCUCCGGCGGUUCGGGCUGGGCGUGCGGCUGAUUAGGGAGUUGGUUGAGGUAACGGCUCACCAAGCCUACGAUCAGUAACUGGUGUGAGAGCAGGACCAGUCAGACGGGGACUGAGACCCGGGCCCGACUCAUACGGGAGGCAGCAGUAAGGAAUAUUGGGCAAUGGAGGCAACUCUGACCCAGCCAUGCCGCGUGGAGGAUGAAGGCCCUCUGGGUUGUAAACUUCUUUUAUAGGGGACGAAACCUGUGUAUUCUUACGCAGUUGACGGUACCCGAGGAAUAAGCACCGGCUAACUCCGUG
rnacentral:rRNA from 1 species